ACUUCGGGGCGCCUCGACGGGUGUUUGACGAGGAGAAGGGGUUGGGGGCUAAGAAGAGGUUAGAGGCGGUAGCGGCAGCUAGGGGUGGGGGUAGCCGUUGGAGCAGAGGGGCGGGGGGGGUAGGGGUUGGGGUGGCGGCUGGCUGGAGGGAGGAGUAGAGCAGGUAGGUGGGUACCUUUGGGGGAGAAGGUGCCUAGGUGGGUGGGUACGGGUGGUCAAGACCGCUACCUACCCCGCGUGGUCAAGACCGCUACCUACCCCGCGUGGUCAAGACCGCUACCGUCGCGGCCUGGGCGUGGGUGGACACGCUACCUCCAGCCGGCGUAGCCCUAGGUGGACGCACUACCUCGGGCCGGCCUAGCCACACCGCGACGUGUGGUGUGGUGUGGCCUCGAACGACGACACGACCAGCAACUGUUGCUGCGUUGAGGCCACCCUGGAUCUGCGGGUUCCAUGCAUGCGGCAAGAACGGUUGAGAAGGUAGAGGAGAGUACGCACCGAACGCACGACGUCUAGGCUGUGGGGUAGGAAGGAAGGAACACAAGUACCUUGCUGUUACCGUUCCCCUGCUGGCUACACGCACCACCUGGUCCUCCACCUCUUGGCAGAGCGGGAGGAACAAGUGUAGUGGAGGGAAACUAAAGGGAACCUGUGAACCUCUCUCUCUUCCUUCUACCGCCUGCUCCCCUACCGGUUGACGUAGCUGUAGUAGGAGCGGUAGUAGGACGGCGGCGAGCCGCAGAAGGAGUUCAAGUGGACGGCCUAGCUCAAGACUUAGACGAACGACGAGUGGAAAAAGCCGAUGGAGGGACCGUAGUAGAUGCGGCAGACCCAGUAGUGAUUCAUCCACAGUCUCCCCGAGGAGUGGAGACCGACGGAGAUCCACUGGGUUCCAACGACUUCUCCUCGUCGUCGGCGUGUUCUCAUAGACUUCUACUGAGGAGGCAAAGAUUGGGUAGGGGAAGGAAGGUGACAAAACCUACUACUUGAACUAGGACGAAUUAAUUAAUUAAAGAGUAGCACGAAUUAAUCGACAUUUACACGGGGGAAUAACUUCUUCUUCUUCUUCUUCUAUUAUGUUUACAUUAAAUUAACCUACCAGGGAAAGUAGCACGAAUUAAUCGACAUUUACACGGAGGGAAUGACUUCUUCUAUUCUUAGGUAUACACAAUACGUUUUAAUUGAAACAGUAGAACAUUCGUGAGAUCCGUCACAGAUCUCCCACUUUUAUACUCUUGUUUUUUCUUAAUGACCUAAUUAAAUUUUGUAGGUAGGAAAUGAGGCAGGUACAGUAACAAUAAAUGGGGACCCUCAUAAAAAUUGAACUUUUAGAGACCACUUGACGGUAAAGCUCAUGUAAAAGAACGAGACAAUUAAAAAACCCAAUGAGGUAGAACGAGACAAUUCAUUUUAAACUAUACACCUCAUCGUCGUCAUUCGAUCUGGGAGGUAGAACGAGACAUGUAUCAGUUUCGAUGAGGUUCAAUCGUCGUUAUGACAAUUGAAGAGUUAAACGAACCUAAUGUAAAUUGAAGAUCAUGGGGUCAUGAGAUCAUUAAAACGAAUCUCAUAAAUUGUACUAACUUGACAUGUACACACCUCAUUAAAACGACCCUCAUAAAUUGUUCUAACUUGUUCUAAAUUGAACAGUUGUAAAUUGUCAUAAAAGUCAUUCAUAAGACUUGUACGAAGACUUAUAAAGGUCUAAAACUUGUACGUUCGUUUAGACGUCCUCAUUUGUUCAAGAACGCCAUCUAUAACGUUCACAAAAUAGAUUUGUAGAUGAGAGUGGCUUCUAUAAAGUUCACCAGACUGGUCUAAAAGAGUCAAACGUUCAAAUGAAUGAAAAGGUCAAUUAAUUGACCUGUAGAACCUCAUCAAUCUUUUAGUACUUAAUAAACGUAUUUUGGUAUCUUCAUAACAUGAGGUCCCACGUAAUGAAUGUAUUUGAACAAACGUUCGAAUAAAAGACUGAGUGUAUAAGACUUUGAUUUUUUCGAAUCAAUUGAACACAUCAUGAAACCCAUUUUUACCUUACCAAGGUAGGACGUGUUGUAUGAAACUCACUUACAACUCAUGACAUACGUGAACACAUUAUAUACAACGAACUACUUACGGACCCACACAGUGAACACAUUAUAUACAACCAACUACUUACGGACCCACACAGUGACGAACAAGGUACGAUGUAAAUCCUUAACAAGUAAAAACACAAUACUGUUGAAGUGACGUAGGACGGCUUUGGAAAAAUUUUAGAACGUCUAAGAUCACGAUGGUGUGUUGAUCUAGUCAUAAACUAAUGAUAAUGUUCACCUCCAGAUUUAGUCGUCUCUUGUCCCCACUCUACAUGUACAGGGUUGGAGGAAGGGAGGGUACAUACUUAUGCGAGAGUUCAUCAGUAAGAACACUUACCCGUAUACUAUUCUUGAUUCUUAAGUGGAAGUGAUUAACAGAUACUAUAAAGUAGUCCUAGAUAUUCAUGAACUCCAUGUAUAACCGGCGUGGUGGUUAUACACAUCAAGAACCCGGGAGAACCAUCACCCAAGAGUCAUCCUGAUAUCUCAACUAUCAUACGAAGAUACGUAGGGUUAAAUACUCAAUACGUCUUAUUCUUAAUGUUAAACGACGUUAAGUCUACAAAACUUAAGAAGUUAGAACUUAACAAGUUACUACUGUCGAUAGAACGUGGCAUGAUAUUUUAGUACCUAGCCGUUGAUCCACUAACAGUUAGGCAAGAACGAUCUACACAACAACAAAAAGAAGAAGAUUCUAUUCUACCAUCGUAGUGUACAGUAGGAUAGUACAACAUGAUCAAGGACUUCACAUUCUAUUCUACCACCGUAGUCUACACACAAGACUGAACACUGACGAAUGAUGUACCUAUGUACGUCGAUCGAUCGUUGGAUCGUCAUGAUCAUUCUUAUAUACACUGAUUAAGGGAGGGAUAUGGAACACUAACUAAGGUCCAUAUAUGUCUACGGUAGAAACAGACCGUUGUAUACGUGGACUAAUGUAAGUCCACGUAUAUCAUAUGAACUUGUCACAUUUGUAUACGUAGACGUUUUAAUAGAGUAAGUAUCACACCACGGAUACAUAUAGUCAAUAGUUAACCGAACUAAAUCCGACAACUAUCAGUCACAGAGUCACUGUCUUUAUUGAGUUUUCGAUAUGGAAAUCGACACGACCGUUAGCUUACAUAUAUUAGCAUUGGCACUUUGAUCAAUAAUGGCAUCGGUCGUCUAGAGAAAUCAUUCGUCAUUGACCAUCAAGAGUAUUAGGUAGGGUAUCUAAUGAAGGGGUUGCACACAAGGUUCCCGAAAUGGACAAUCUUAACUACGAACAAAGAUGAUUCACAACGUGAACAAAGAUGAUUCAAAAUUGAUACUUAGACAACAAAGUGUAUAUGAUAUAUGUUGACUACGGAACUUCUUCAGUCGAGGGGAACCUACCACGUCACAUCGUUUAGUUACAGCUAAGUAAGUAAGAAACUACAACCGAAAGUAAGAAGGUUUCAACCCACAUGUCCUCGAGAUCCUUCUUCUUACGGCUUCUAUUUGGUGUGGGUCGUUACGCAAAAUCGAGUGAUCUCUAUCAAUACGAACCUCGAUCAAUACACAUAUAAAUCAACAUAAAAUAUCGACUUAUGGUCUUAACAUGAUACGAACCGACAACAUACUUUAUAAUACGGAAUAACCGAGAAAAACUUAGUUUAAUAGAUUAACGUGUCUAU
rnacentral:rRNA from 1 species